rnacentral:lncRNA from 1 species
GCUAUAUACAGAAAACCCUUAAUUUUCCUCCCAACUUCCUCAUCACCAAGGCAAGCUCCAUGCUCUAUUAAUCAUUCCUUUGACUCACAUAUAGGUGCUGUGCUGUUCUUACCGUGCGUGUGUGAACACAUAGUUUGUUGUAAAACUGGAUCGGAGGGAUGGAAAGGAAUCGGUUCCACUGGAAACGUCGGCGGCGGAGAAUCCGUCUUGGAAUGAGUCUGAUGUCACCGCCAUGAUAUCAUCUCUCAACCGUGCCAUCGAGUAUCCGGCAGCCGACGGGCAAGAAAGGUCAGACUCUCCGAUCAAACAAGAGCUUAGUAAGUCGGAUCAACUACAACAAGACCAAGGUAGUAACUAGUUUCAUAUUUAAAUACCAUAAUUAUCUUGACCAUAUGUCUCUAAAAAUUAACAGCUUAAUUAAUCGUUUUAGCAAGCUGAUGUUAUUAAUGAUACGUUAAACCGUUUUUUAGUUUUUUUAGUUAAAAAUUAAGAAACAGUUUGUUAUAUUCAGAACCUUGUUAUAUUCAGAACCUCACCAUAAGAACCCCAUUAAUCAUGCUCUAAUUGUUUAAAGACUUGCUAUUAAUUGAAUUAGGAGGUAAAUGGACUUUGUAUAUAUAGGUUAGGUUUAAGUUCAAUUCAUAUGUCAUUUAAUUUACGUAAAAAACUUUCCUUCUGUCUUGAAUUGAACCACCGAUCAGUUUACUACUAGUACGUGUCUAUUCUUUAAUACAUCUAGAUUUUGUUUCUAUUCAAAGUACAAGUUAGGUAAUAUUUUAUUAAUGCAGGUUUUAACUCGUCAAACACGCACGUUCCUUUGUUCAUUUCAAACUAAUUGUCUUCAAUUGUUCUUUAUCAACUUUAUGCGUGUCAUUUUAUCAAUAUUUUGAAGUAUUCCAACAUGACUAACUUGUUUUUCAGGUGCGUUAAAAGCCAAAAUGUCAUAUUCAUAAGUAGUAAUCAAAAAUUGAAGUCUUAGUUUAUACUUUAUUGAGUGGGUUGUCACAACAUCACAUUUUCUUCUUUGAUUGUUGAGUUACGUUUGCAUGUGUCAUCCUGUAUGCACAAAAAUACAACCG